CUUGGNCAUUUAUAGGAAGUAAAAGUNGUAACAAGGUUUCCAUAGGUGAACCUGCGGAAGGAUCAUUACAGAGAACAUGCCCUNCGGGGNAGAUCUCCCANCCUUUGUUUAUCUUACCUNUGNUGGUUUGGCGGGCCCGUNUAACUACCANNGGGNUNNGGCGGGUCAAAAGCCCGNCCNUGAGGAACNNAAAACUCACAANUAUGANGGUCNUUUUGCGCUCNCCACCCUANAUANUUUAAGAACGUUUCCCNACCACCNAGAUCGGAUCUCUUGGUUCUGGCAUCGANGAAGNNCGCAGCGAAAUGCGAUAAGUAAUGGAAUUGCAGAAUUCAGUGAAUCAUCGAAUCUUUGAACGCACAUUGCACCCUCUGGUGUUCCGGGGGGUAUGCCUGUUCGAGCGUCAUUACAACCCUCAAGCUCUGCUUGGUAUUGGAUGCGAUUUCUCUAAUCCAUCCUAAAAUUAGUGGCGGUGCCAUCUGGUUUCCAGCGUAGUAAUUUUCUCGCUGUGGAUGUCUAGGUGUUAUCUGCCAACAACCCUCUAUCUUUUAAGGUUGACCUCGGAUCAGGUAGGGAUACCCGCUGAACUUAAGCAUAUCAAUAAGCGGAGGA
rnacentral:rRNA from 1 species